GGCUCUGUUCAACUACGAGCGCCGGGGCUCCGGAUGGUGUGCUGCGGCGCUCGGUCUUUGUUCACUCUUGUCCAAACUGCAGCUUGUGCUAGGUUCUCUUUUUCAGCCUUAUUUACCCCUCCCGGCUUUAGCUGCAGACUAUUCACUAAAAAACCCACCCAAGCACAGGCUUCGGCUUUUCCUCCCCCGGACUGUCCCGCCUUCACACUCCUCAGAGGCUUUGUGGCCUCCUGGGGUUACGGGAGACCUCUUCGCAGACUCCUCUCUAUGUACUGGGGACACAGGAGUGCUGGGUUAAAAGCAGUUGGCUUGCUAAGAUAAGAAAACCAAGGCACAGAGAGGUGAAGUAACUUAUCCUGUACAAAGUCCAACAGCAAGUGGAGUCACCAUCAGAACUCAAGUAUCAGGUUCCAGAGCCACAUGCUUAGCCACUGCGAUGUACUGCCUCCCAUAAAAAAAUGUCUCAUGUUCAUCAGGUUAAUCCUAAAGUGCCUGAAGUCAUGCUGUUGCCGCUGAUCCAUGGAACAUACUCUAAAGAACAUGGGACUAAGCAUACACUAAUGAAUCAAAGCUAAGUCUAGAUUUUAGAAAUACAGCAAAUACAAAGCAUGCGCCUAACAAGUUGUCUCCUGUGGACAGAUGGCCAAGGAACUGCCUUUAGGGCUCUUUCCCAUAUCCGAUGGUUUGGCAGAAUUUCUGCUCUUAUCUUCAUGACGUGAACAGACAGCCACCAUUGAACUGGUGAAACAGGAAGACCAGGAUUGGAAGCUUCUCAACCAGCUUUCGAGGCUGCAUGAAAACAGAUUCUGCUGAAUUGCUACCUGGACAUUUAAAAAGAGCUUCCUUAGAGGAUUCCUGACUUAGCUCUAGCAAUCUUAACCAUCACAUGGGCUAAAUGAACCCUGGAUCAUUUGUUUGCCCUUUGGCAGGCUUGGAAGUUUAAGAUCAAAGUGCUCAUGAAUUCUGUUUCUGGUGAAGACCUGCUUCCUGGCUUACAGACAGCUACCAUCUCCCUGUGUGCUCACAUGACCUCUUUGUCUGAGCAAACACAAGCCAUCCUUGAGUUCCUGGUUCUGACUUCUUUGAAGACCAAGUCACCGUUUCCUUCAGCUUGAGACAAUGUUUCAGGUGAUAAGAAAAGACGAACUAUCAGAAACCCCAGAGGUGCCAAUUACCCACUUUUUUCAUGCUAACAACUUGCAUUUCUACUCAUUGGUUUAUACAAGAGUAACCAUCUCUUUCUCUUAACAUGCUGGAGGUGGGGUGGGGGUGGUGGUUGUUCCAAAGUAGCCAGAUCAGACUUUUUAAUGAGCAAGAGUUGGAGGGGGGGGAAAAAAAAGGUAAAUUGACUUUUUACAGGAAACACAGCAUUCCUCAAAAACGAUUAAACAUUCUGUCAUCCAGAAUAUCCCUAUCCUGUUGACCUUAUUUACAGAUUUCAUGAAAAAUACAUCAUCAUAACAUUGAUAUAUGGACCCUGUAGCAUCCAAUUUCUUGGAGGCAUCUGUACCUGAUAAGGAUGCUGGUCAUGCACUCAUAAACGUGGGGGCAAUAUAAAUGAGAUGAUGCCCCAUGGAAUAUAAUACACAUAGAUGCUUUUCUAAAAUACACUCAUAUCUGUUGGAAAUAAGGCAAUUUGGCUCUCCACCUUGGCUCUGAAUGAAAUAAUGUUCUGGGUUGGGGAGGCAGGUAAUAAAAGCCACAAUUGUGAAGUGUUACUGGCAGUCCUUUCAUUGUUACUGCAAGCUGGGCAUACAUUUGUCUUCAUUGUCAAAGUGCUGGUGUUGUUUACAAGUUAAAGAUAAGGAAGCCAGGAAAGCUUAUUCAGGUCUCUUGGCUGGGAAAACACCGUUUCCUCAUCACGAAUCCCAAAUUACAUUUUGAGCUGGAAUUAGGCGACACAUCGCUUUAGAUUUGGUCAGAUUUUCCUUGGUGCUUUCCUCAUACCUGCCUCUGGAGUUUGGAGGACCUGGAAAUAGUUGUGAUUAGAGGGUGAUGUGAAAACAAACAGAGCCAUUUCUGCCCCCACCAGGUUUCAGCUGACUGGAUACUGAGAAUAGCCUUGGCGUCUAGCCUUUGCCUAUUUGCAAAACCUUUACCAACUUUCCUCAUCCCUCAGGGGAAACAAAAGGUGAGUGCAGUAAUUUUGGAGGUGGAGUGAGGGUUGUUAAACUCCUUCACUGCAGACAGUGAUGCAGGUAGAAAAGCUUUAUUCUGCAUCCAGGCCUCCAUCUAUUUACAAUCAAUCUUGAUUAUCAGGACAAAGCUCAAAACCAGCAGGCACCUGACUCUCAGGGCAGCUCUCACACCUACUGGAUGAAGAACAAGAAGGAACUUGUAAUCCUUCCUUGUACUUUGGAGAAAAAGCAGCCCAACCCUCUCAAUCGGAGGUAUUUAUGAGAGGGGGUUUGGCAUAGCUGGAAGGGAAAUGCACACACACACACACACACACACACACACAAACACACUUCAAAACAAAUCUAAAAUGCAAGGGACUUCAGCGAUGGGAACAGGGACUGAAAUCCCAGCUCAGAGCUUGCAAAUCCUCAGUAAGCAAAAAGCACACACACUCUGUGUGCCCCAUCCUCAUUUAUGACCGGUCAACAAAGCAACUGCAGGUGAUCUCAACUGCUGAUGCUGCUGAGGAGGCCUCUCAGAUGGCCGGGCUCCUGCAAACUUAUUCACUGCCUCAUUAAAGCAAUUUCGAAAUCAAUUCCGGAUUUGACAAGCCGUCAGUACAUUGUUGCCUCUCGGUGAUGGGAGUGACAUGUUAACAGCAAUUAGACUUUUGCACACGCACGUUGAAGCCUGUUCAGCAUAUUCUUUAUUAGAAGAGCCUAAAAAGCGUUAUUAUAAUCAUCUAACCUGGGGUCAUGGACACAUGCUCUAUGAUCUCUGCCUCUGUCAGCAGUCCCCUUGGUGAAAUUUUGCCUAUUGUCCGUAGAGAUUAAAAGGAAGUGCUUACCCCAGAUGCGAUAUUGGAAAAUCAAAGGUCAGAGCAAAGCUUGUGGUAACCUCCAUUUUUUAAUACAAGUUAUAGGAGCAAUCAAAUUAGCAUGAACAGAUACUGCUCCUUCUAACAGAUGGAGCAGGAUUCUUAUGCAAACGAGGGAGGACAGGCUUCAGUCGUUUGGUGGCCACAUGAGUGGCGAUGUUGUUAUCUCGACUGUGGUUGGCCAGCACUUGGAUAGUGAAGAUGGCAAAGCCUUCACUCCAGUUCAGCAGAGGCUUAUCAGUCCUUUAUGUCAUGGAAAACUACUCUCUUCUGUAAUAAAAUCAUCCUGUCCUGUUUGGAAUGGCGCUCUUUGUAGACAGUUCUCUUGGUCAGCUGAAGUUACCAGCGGGAGCUGUGUUCCUCUCUGCUUUGGGAGCCCAGUGGAACCGACUGAAAACGAAUAUUGUAACCUGAUUUUCCCAAGACUCUACCAGCCAAAUGAGAUCCAGAUAAGUCUCAAAUCUCAUCGGACCCUAUUUAUUUCUGGGGAGUCUCAAGACAGAGUCUGUCACAUGCCCACAAACAAUUCUCUCCUGGUCUUCUUCUGAUUUCUGCUUGGAUGGCUACCAUUUGAGAGUAGUUUUAUGCCCAGUAUUCAGUGUGAAUAACAUCCCCUCAGGUAAGUACUUGUAUUAUAACCACUUUGAAGACGAGAAAACAGGAGAGUAGCAAGGUUCAGCCAGUGGCUCGGUGUCUCAUGGCUACAACACCGGAUGCAAGCUCAGGCAGUCUGGCUUCCAGUCUCCCACAGUGAGUCAUUACCCUGCUGGCCUCUUGAGCCAAAGCUGGUGCCCACCCAAGGGGACCACCUCCCCAAACUCCCAACGUUGCAAAAUAGUCACUGUUCCAAGUAAAUAUUUAUUGACUGACUGAUUUACUGAAAAUGAAUGAAUUCUGAUUGACUUCAUGAUGGCCAAAUUCAUGCAGUUAUAUGAUAUUUCAA